UGUUAAAAUUUUGCUGUUUUGCAAAAUCUUUAUAAAAGACGCCACCCACCUUGCUCGUUAUCAGAAAAAUGAGAUCGCAAGAUUCGUCCGAGCUCGCAUACCAAUAUUUCUAACGCAAGUUCUGCAAUUAUUACGCAAUACUCUGGAAGUAUUUAUUGGGCUAAGCAUUAAUGAAAAGGAAGAGCUAGUGAAUUACCUUGUACCUGAAAUUGAGUCUACUCUACGGAUUUUAGCUACUGUGAUAGAGGAAAU